rnacentral:misc_RNA from 1 species
CUGAAGAAUACCCCAAAUUCUGCAGGACCAAUGGACUCUGCUACGUUAGGAAGCAAGCAAUCCACCAUCAUUUUCCUCACAUACAUACUAACGAUAGGUAUGGUGUUGUGGUUACUGGUGCGCUCCACUGUACAAGCAAAUCACUCGCUCAAGUAACCAUGUAAAUACAAUACUCAAAAAGAGAGGAAGAGAGAAUCAUGUAGAUACACAAGAAUCACACAUAGCAAAGAAAGCAGAAAACAGGGGAAAAAAAGCUUGAUAAAAACUUCAGCUUUCCAUUAUUAUCUUGCUGUCUAUCUCUCCAGUUCUUGUUUGCAAAGUGGGCAACAAGAUAUAAUUCGGAGCCAAUGAUCUACACACUUGAGGUGAAACAUAUGCGAACAUGGCAACUGCCUAACUUCUUCCUUGUCUUUGUAGUUGGCUAAGCAAAUACAGCAUUCCGGAUCUUCACUUGCAAGGGUUGAAUUGCAAUCAACACCAUUGCCAACCUCCAAACUGGUGUCGACUGCUUUAUAUUUCCAGCUUGGUAGCCUAGAGAUUUGAUCAUCAGAUGCCCCUCUUUCAGCAGACCCCAUAUGCAUGUUGUAACCAAGGACACUACUGAUGAGUGGCACGCAACAACAUAGCAGCAGAAACAGUAGGAAAGGAAAUGAGUAGCUCAGAGCAUUCCAAGCAAGCAGAGAGAUGCAGAGAACAUGGAGUUUUGGAGCUCGGUGGAAAGAUCCAAAGCGAGAAUCAAAGACCCAAACAUUACCCAUGACAAACCAUAUUGCAAAAAAUAGCUCCAGUGAAGUCCGACAUUUGUUCAUCAGAUGUGAACACCUGGAGUCCUCAAUGCCCCUCUGCUGCUCCAAAUCAGAAAGGCCAAAACCAUCUCCUUGAGUAACAUGGCGAUAGCGCCCAUAGAGUAGCAGCAGGCUAAGGAGACAGCCAAUAUCAUAACCAACAAUCCAUAUUCUCAUAGGCCAAACAGGUUUCUCCCUUUUGGAGAUAGCCAAAGUAAAUGUAGUCGUACUUAUUUGAACAAUCAAAGCUAUAAACUCCAGCAUCAUCCAAGUGCUAGAAUUGAAAGGAUUAGACCCAAGAUUGGAUCUUGAACCAUUCUGGUAGUGGAAUACUCUUCUCAAGAAGGUGAACCACCUUGCUCUUGAUAUCCUCAUUGCCAUUCUUAUCAAGAAAGUAGAAGGGGGAGCACGAGAAGACCUGUUUCUGCUGAUCACAGGCCCACGAUCCUCUCCUACUGCAGAAUUUGCUGAAAAUGAAACUGUGCUACCCGAAUUACACAACGAGUCUGGUGGAGAGAAAUACCGGGUAUUCAUUUGGGAAUAUUAAGAUAUGAACUUUAGGAUUUGAGCGUUAAACUGCUCAAAUAUGGAAAGAAAACUGGUUUGAUGAAGAAGUACAAGAUUUAGUUAUCAAGCUAUAGCAUGAAGAAUUAACCGGAAACGGAAUAUAGACCAGCAUGAAUUCUAUGUGACUAGUUGGCAAAUCACAGAUAUUGUAUUGGGAAUCACAAGAACGGAUUGGCAAUAGAUUAUAAUUGAAAGCUUUAGAUGAUCAUGAGAAUUCAGUGAGGCAAAAAUGCAAAUACCAGCAGGGUUGAGUGGUGGGACCAAAUACUUGAAAUACCAAAAUUCUCUCCAAUGAAAAUCUGAACCUUCAAGCAUAAAUCAUAGGUGGGCCUUCAAUUGAAGAACACCACAGAAUCUGCACCAGCUGCAAAAACCCAAAAAAAUCAAGAACUCAUAGAGUUUAAAAACUGAAAACGGUAUAUGCAAAUAGGCCUGAGUACAACAAAAAAGAACUUUGUCCUCAAAAGCUUUGACGUAAGAAAGAAUUGGAAGCAAAGAUCCCCAAAGCACACACAAAACAUGAAAAUCUCAAGUGGGUAUUUAAGCAAGAACCUGAAUAAGCACCAGGCGUAAGUAGAAAGAUUAUAGAAUAAAGAAAGAUAAGCAGAUUGGAGAAGGGGGAAGGGGGUUGGGAGAAUAAGACAGGCAGGGGAAGAUUGGGUUUCAGAUGGUGACCAAGAAUCAACUGCAAAAGCCAAAAGAGCUUUGCUUUGAUUCCAAGGGAAUAAGCAAGUUCAGAGAGAAGCUAGCUGACUGUUGGCCUAACCUCCCUCUGGUAUUUGUUUCUUAAGUAAGCAAAGCUGAGAUAGAGAGAGCAACCAGCAACUGCUGCUUCAACUACAAAUCUUUCUUUCUCCCUGACACACAAAAU